AUUGAACGCUGGCGGCAGGCCUAACACAUGCAAGUCGAACGAGUGGCGGACGGGUGAGUAAUGUCUGGGAAACUGCCCGAUGGAGGGGGAUAACUACUGGAAACGGUAGCUAAUACCGCAUACAAUCGGAUGUGCACAGAUGGGAGUAGCUGGUAGGUGAGGUAACGGCUCACCUAGGCGACGCUGCCUAGGUGGUCUGAGAGGAUGACCAGCAAAAAUGGAACUGAGACACGGUCCAGAUUCAUAAGGGAGGCAGCAGGAGGGAAUAGGGCGAAAUGGGCGAAAGCCGGAUGGAGCCAGGCCGCGUGUAUGAAGAAGGCCUUCGGGUUGUAAAGUUUGUUCAGCGGGGAGGCGUUACCCACAGAAGAAGCACCGGCUAACUCCGUGCCAGCAGCCGCGGUAAUUC
rnacentral:rRNA from 1 species